rnacentral:rRNA from 1 species
GAUGAACGCUGACAGAAUGCUUAACACAUGCAAGUCUUUCGCGAAGCUGUGCUUGCACAGCCUAGCCAAGGCGGACGGGUGAGUAACGCGUAAUGAACUUGCCCUGCAGUCAGGGAUAACAGACGGAAACGACUGAUAAGACCUGGUAAAGUCAGUCGGACUCAUGUCCAGCCUGAUGAAAAGAGAUGCUGCAGGCGCGCCUUGCGUCCUAUUAGCUUGUUGGUGUGGUAACGGCCCACCAAGGCGAUGAUAGGUAGCCGGCCUGAGAGGGUGGACGGCCACAAGGGGACGGAGAUACGGCCCUUACUCCUACGGGAGGCAGCAGUGGGGAAUAUUGGACAAUGGGGGCAACCCUGAUCCAGCAAUGCUGUGUGCACGAUGAAGGUUUGAGGAUUGUAAAGUGCUUUCAGCAGGGAAGAAAAAAUGACGGUACCUGCAGAAGAAGCGACGGCUAAAUACGUG